rnacentral:rRNA from 1 species
AUGGCCAGGACCGCGGUGGGUCGCCGCCGUCGGCCGCAGGCGUCCCGCUGCGACGACCGGAUCAGCGGCGUCCCCGACGAUCUCCUCCUUUCGGUCCUGCGCCGCCUCGACAUCCGGACGGCGCUCGGCACCGCGGCCCUCUCCAGGCGCUGGGCCCGCCUCAACCGUGAGCUCCCAGUCCUCAACUUCAGUGUCGAGGGCAUGCUCCCGCCGCGCUACCACCGAUGGGUCCAGCUCCGCCGCGGCAUCGGGGGAGCUAUUUUUUUCCAGUACGAAAGGCACGCAAUGACACGGGAGCUCAUGCCCAACAUCACAAGGUACGAGCGCCGCGCCAUGCGCGCCCUGACCAGGUCCGUCGAGAGCUUCUUGGGCACCGUCGCUCGCCGGAGGAGGGUCAGCAGGCUCAGGAUGGAGUUCUUCGUCGCCCCACAACACCGGCUGCCUGAACCAGCUCGUCGCGGAGGCCAUCGACGGUUGGGGGCUGGACGACCUCGAAGCUGUUGCUAA